UUAGUUAGUUGGUGGGGUAAAGGCCUACCAAGACAAUGAUGCAUAGCCGAGUUGAGAGACUGAUCGGCCACAUUGGGACUGAGACACGGCCCAAACUCCUACGGGAGGCUGCAGUAGGGAAUCUUCCACAAUGGGCGAAAGCCUGAUGGAGCAACGCCGCGUGUGUGAUGAAGGCUUUCGGGUCGUAAAGCACUGUUGUAUGGGAAGAAAAGUUAAGGUAGGGAAUGACCUUAGCCUGACGGUACCAUACCAGAAAGGGACGGCUAAAUACGUGCCAGCAGCCGCGGUAAUACGUAUGUCCCGAGCGUUAUCCGGAUUUAUUGGGCGUAAAGCGAGCGCAGACGGUUGGUUAAGUCUGAUGUGAAAGCCCGGAGCUCAACUCCGGAAAGGCAUUGGAAACUGGUUAACUUGAGUGCAGUAGAGGUAAGUGGAACUCCAUGUGUAGCGGUGGAAUGCGUAGAUAUAUGGAAGAACACCAGCGGCGAAGGCGGCUUACUGGACUGUAACUGACGUUGAGGCUCGAAAGUGUGGGUAGCAAACAGGAUUAGAUACCCUGGUAGUCCACACCGUAAACGAUGAACACUAGGUGUUAGGAGGUUUCCGCCUCUUAGUGCCGAAGCUAACGCAUUAAGUGUUCCGCCUGGGGAGUACGACCGCAAGGUUGAAACUCAAAGGAAUUGACGGGGACCCGCACAAGCGGUGGAGCAUGUGGUUUAAUUCGAAGCAACGCGAAGAACCUUACCAGGUCUUGACAUCCUUUGAAGCUUUUAGAAAUAGAAGUGUUCUCUUCGGAGACAAAGUGACAGGUGGUGCAUGGUCGUCGUCAGCUCGUGUCGUGAGAUGUUGGGUUAAGUCCCGCAACGAGCGCAACCCUUAUUGUUAGUUGCCAGCAUUCAGAUGGGCACUCUAGCGAGACUGCCGGUGACAAACCGGAGGAAGGCGGGGACGACGUCAGAUCAUCAUGCCCCUUAUGACCUGGGCUACACACGUGCUACAAUGGCGUAUACAACGAGUUGCCAACCUGCGAAGGUGAGCUAAUCUCUUAAAGUACGUCUCAGUUCGGACUGCAGUCUGCAACUCGACUGCACGAAGUCGGAAUCGCUAGUAAUCGCGGAUCAGCACGCCGCGGUGAAUACGUUCCCGGGUCUUGUACACACCGCCCGUCACACCAUGGAAGUUUGUAAUGCCCAAAGCCGGUGGCCUAACCGUAAGGAGGGAACCGU
rnacentral:rRNA from 1 species